UACGUAGGGUCCGAGCGUUUGUCCGGAAUUAUUGGGCGUAAAGGGCUCGUAGGCGGUUUGUCGCGUCGGGGAGUGAAAACUCAGGGCUCAACCCUGAGCGUGCUUCCGAUACGGGGCAGACUAGAGGUAUGCAGGGGGAGAACGGAAUUCCUGGUGUAGCGGUGGAAUGCGCAGAUAUCAGGAGGAACACCGGGUGGCGAAGGCGGUUCUCUGGGCAUUACCUGACGCUGAGGAGCGAAAGCAUGGGGAGCGAACAGG
rnacentral:rRNA from 1 species